CGGCCUACGGGGGGCAGCAGUGAGGAAUAUUGGUCAAUGGGAGGAAUCCUGAACCAGCCAUGCCGCGUGCAGGACGACGGCUCUACGAGUUGUAAACUGCUUUUGUACCGGGGUAAAAUGCCUUACGAGUAGGGUUUUGAAAGUACGGUACGAAUAAGGAUCGGCUAACUCCGUGCCAGCAGCCGCGGUAAUACGGAGGAUCCGAGCGUUAUCCGGAUUUAUUGGGUUUAAAGGGUGCGUAGGCGGUUUGAUAAGUUAGAGGUGAAAUGUCGGGGCUCAACCCCGAAACUGCCUCUAAUACUGUU
rnacentral:rRNA from 1 species